rnacentral:rRNA from 1 species
UAAGGAAUAUUGGUCAAUGGGCGGAAGCCUGAACCAGCCAUGCCGCGUGCAGGAAGACAGCCCUAUGGGUCGUAAACUGCUUUUAUACCGGAAUAAACCCCUUUACGUGUAAAGGGCUGAAUGUACGGUAAGAAUAAGGAUCGGCUAACUCCGUGCCAGCAGCCGCGGUAAUACGGAGGAUCCAAGCGUUAUCCGGAUUUAUUGGGUUUAAAGGGUGCGUAGGCGGCCUGUUAAGUCAGGGGUGAAAGACGGUAGCUCAACUAUCGCAGUGCCCUUGAUACUGACGGGCUUGAAUGGACUAGAGGUAGGCGGAAUGAGACAAGUAGCGGUGAAAUGCAUAGAUAUGUCUCAGAACACCGAUUGCGAAGGCAGCUUACUAUGGUCAAAUUGACGCUGAGGCACGAAAGCGUGGGGAUCAAACA